rnacentral:rRNA from 1 species
CACGUAGGCGGCCCGGUAAGUCGGAUGUGAAAUCUCACGGCUCAACCGUGGAACUGCAUUCGAAACUGUCGGGCUAGAGGCAGGUAGGGGGAGAUCGGAAUUCCCGGUGUAGCGGUGAAAUGCGCAGAUAUCGGGAGGAACACCGGUGGCGAAGGCGGAUCUCUGGGCCUGUCCUGACGCUCAGGCGCGAAAGCUAGGGGAGCGAACA